UACCAGUACAUCACGACUCUUUAUAUCAGAAAGGGAACUUGUAGUGACUAGCAUGGUAUACCUGAAACACUGCAACAGCUGCAUGUGUACAGAACAGUAUGAAGUUUAAAAUUACAGAUACAUGGACUAUGUGCACUUGCAGUGAAAUGUCUUUAAUGUGGAAAUAUGCAAAAGUACCAGAGGCGAAAAACUGUUUACAAAUACGAAGUGACUAUAUGACCGGCAGCCGGUCACGGUUUAUCAAAUACUAAAUGGCCGGCAGUCUAGUGACU